rnacentral:rRNA from 1 species
ACGGGGGGUGCAAGCGUUGUUCGGAAUUAUUGGGCGUAAAGAGCGUGUAGGCGGCUGAAUAAGUCAGAUGUGAAAUCCCUGGGCUUAACCCAGGAAGUGCAUUUGAAACUAUUCAGCUUGAGUAGGGGAGAGGAAAGUGGAAUUCCUGGUGGAGAGGUGACAUUCGUAGAUAUCAGGAGGAGCACCGGGGGCGAAGGCAACUUUCAGGCCCUAUACCGACGCUGAGACGCGAGAGUGUGGGUAGUUAAUAG